rnacentral:misc_RNA from 1 species
GACUCGGUGGGAAAGGCAUUUGAAAACAUUUUUUUAUCAUAAAAGAGGAAAAAGAAAUUGUUUUUCUCUUUGGUGGAUGCAAUGAGAAUAUAUGCAAGUUUCAAUUUCGUUACAUUCUUUGGGAGAAUGGCUCGCCAUCUCUUUGUUAUGUUCUGAUGAAAAAUAGUUUCUGUCACAUUGUAAAAAAAUGAACUUUGCACCUAAGUCGUCCCAAAACUAGCUCAUUAAGUGAAAACUGAAAGACCAUAUAAAGAGACUACCUAAGUUGCUUGGACUCAGGUGCGGGUGUCUGAUACCUGUGUAGGUCUAGAGGUCGAAUCCUUCGUGAUCUAAUUUUUAAGAUUCAGGGAUAU